rnacentral:tRNA from 1 species
GCCCGGGUGGUGGAAUGGUAGACACGAAGGACUUAAAAUCCUUUGGCCAAUGCGGCCGUGCGGGUUCAAAUCCCGCUCCGGGUA